CUACGGGUGGCAGCAGUGGGGAAUAUUGGACAAUGGGGGAAACCCUGAUCCAGCAAUGCCGCGUGUGUGAAGAAGGCCUGCGGGUUGUAAAGCACUUUCGGUUGGGAGGACUGCUUCUAGCACUAAUAUUGUUGGAAGUUGACGUUACCUUCAGAAGAAGCACCGGCUAACUCCGUGCCAGCAGCCGCGGUAAUACGGGGGGUGCAAGCGUUAAUCGGAAUUACUGGGCGUAAAGCGCGCGUAGGCGGCUAGAUCAGUCGGGUGUGAAAGCCCCGGGCUUAACCUGGGAACCGCAUCCGAUACUGUCUAGCUUGAGUACAGGAGAGGAGAGUGGAAUUCCACAUGUAGCGGUGAAAUGCGUAGAUAUGUGGAGGAACACCAAUGGCGAAGGCAGCUCUCUGGCCUGAUACUGACGCUGAGGUGCGAAAGCGUGGGGAGCAAACAGGAUUAGAUACCCGAGUAGUC
rnacentral:rRNA from 1 species